rfam:Toxocara canis scaffold205, whole genome shotgun sequence.
CAGGCAGUAGCUCAGUGGUAGAGCCCCUGAUCUUUAUGCGGGAAGACCUGGGUUCGAUUCCCGGCUGCUUGC